UCCAGAGCCACGUUAGCCACGCCAGUAA
rnacentral:sRNA from 1 species